AAAAUUUAGAGUUUGAUCCUAGCUCAGGAUGAACGCUGGCGGCGUGGAUGAGGCAUAUAAGUCAAACGGUCCCGAUAAAUUUCGCAAGAAAUUUAUCGUGGAUAGUGGCAGACGAGGUAGUAACACGUAGGAACGCGCCCAGAAGUCCGGUAUAGCUUCGCGAAAGCGGAGGUAAUCCCAGAUGUGGUAGAAAUACCAAAGGAGCAAUUCGCUUCUGGAGCGGCCUGCGGAGUAUCAGCUAGUUGGUAGGGUAAUGGCCUACCAAGGCAAUGACGCUUAGGGGACCUGAGAGGGUGACCCCCACCGAUGGA
rfam:Candidatus Nomurabacteria bacterium RIFCSPLOWO2_01_FTLL_46_18 rifcsplowo2_01_scaffold_53751, whole genome shotgun sequence.